GUACAAGUAUGUCAAGCCGUUCUCGUCAAAACUCUGUUUAAACCCUUUUUUCGAAAAAAAAUACACACUGAGAAUUAAAAACCUAAAAUAACACACUGAGAAAUCGAAAUUACACACUGAGAUUUAAAAAAAUAAAAAACACACACUGAGAAUUCAAAAUUACACACUGAGAUUUUAAAAAGACACACUGAGAUGAAAUAAAUUGAAAAACACACACUGAGAAUUGUUAAUUACACACUGAGAUUUCAAAAAUACGCACUGAGAUUAAUAUGCAAAUUACUAACGAAUAUUCAUGAGAUGAAUAAUUCAACAGAUUUAUAUCUUGAUCUCAAGAACUCUUGUCAUUAUAAUGAAAUGCGAUUCCUUCAACCAACAUUCGUAAUAAAUUUCAAGACUUAACAUCGCUCAUAUUCAUAAGUUUGUUGCCUAUAAUUCAGAUCAAUACUACCAGUAAUUAAACAUGUGUCCCUUUUCAAAGUCUUCCAACUGUUUCCCUGAUUUCGCUAGUUAAUCUUUUAUAUUUUUGUUACGUUUAUAUGCUAUAAUAGAC
rnacentral:lncRNA from 1 species